AUUGAACGCUGGCGGCAUGCCUUACACAUGCAAGUCGAACGGCAGCAUGGGUGCUUGCACCUGAUGGCGAGUGGCGAACGGGUGAGUAAUGCAUCGGAACGUACCCGGAAGUGGGGGAUAACGUAGCGAAAGUUACGCUAAUACCGCAUAUUCUGUGAGCAGGAAAGCAGGGGAUCGCAAGACCUUGCGCUGAUUGAGCGGCCGAUAUCAGAUUAGCUAGUUGGUGAGGUAAAGGCUCACCAAGGCGACGAUCUGUAGCGGGUCUGAGAGGAUGAUCCGCCACACUGGAACUGAGACACGGUCCAGACUCCUACGGGAGGCAGCAGGUGGGGAAUUUUGGACAAUGGGGGCAACCCUGAUCCAGCCAUGCCGCGUGAGUGAAG
rnacentral:rRNA from 1 species